rnacentral:rRNA from 1 species
AGCGAACGCUGGCGGCAGGCCUAACACAUGCAAGUCGAACGGGCUCUUCGGAGCUAGUGGCGGACGGGUGAGUAACACGUGGGAACGUGCCUUUAGAUUCGGAAUAAGCCCGGGACACUGGGUCUAAUACCGAAUGUGCCCUUCGGGGGAAAGAUUUAUCGCCUUUAGAGCGGCCCGCGUCUGAUUAGCUUGUUGGUGAGGUAAUGGCUCACCAAGGCGACGAUCAGUAGCUGGUCUGAGAGGAUGACCAGCCACAUUGGGACUGAGACACGGCCCAAACUCCUACGGGAGGCAGCAGUGGGAAUCUUGCGCAAUGGGCGAAAGCCUGACGCAGCCAUGCCGCGUGGAUGAUGAAGGUCUUAGGAUUGUAAAAUCCUUUCACCGGUGAAGAUAAUGACUGUAGCCGGAGAAGAAGCCCCGGCUAACUUCGUGCCAGCCGCCGCCGUAA